CAAAAAGACACAAAAAAUUCUGUGUGAAUGCUUGAAAAUCUGUUAAAUUCAAAAAUAGUAUAAAACUAUAACAUCAACUUAAAAUUAAAAAAAUAAUAAUAAUCAUCAUUUUAAGCUACAGAAUAUUAAAUCAUGUAAUAGAUUAACUUGGGUUCAAAAAUACAUAUUAUCAUAUAUUAAUCUACUUGAUUUUUGUUAAAAAAACCAAUUCCUAAAUCUAUUACGUUGUUUUGCCUCCAGUAAACCCCGAUCUUGGGGACAGUGGUUAGCAUGGGCUGAAUUUUGGUAUAACAUGUCGUUUCACACAGCUACAAAGCACACUCCUUUCCAGAUUGUAUACGGUUGCGACCUUCCAUUGGUUCUGCCAUUUGAAAGGGGGAUGACUUCAGUAUCAUCAGUUGAGCAAUCACUAAUUAGUCGGGAUGAAAUGCUCCAACAUCUUAAAAUGCUUUUGCAACAAGCCCAACUAAGGAUGAAACAGCAGGUAGAUGGGCAUCGUCGCGACGCACAGUUGGAGGUAGGGGACUUGGUGUAUCUGAAGCUACUUCCUUACCGCCAAACAUCAGUCGCUCGUCGAUCAUUAGAAAAGCCCCCGGUGAUCUUUACAUGUGAACGAAAGAAUAGAAAACCACCCAGUUAGGUGCCAAAUAGGGGAACAGUCCAGUCAGAUGCCAUGUCAGCUAAGUAAUAUCCAUUAAUUCUUAUGCAUGCCGUUUGUUAUUUUUGUUAGUCGUUGGGGAAGGGUAGUCAGUCAGUUAGAAUAUUGCCAAUAAAUGUAAUGGGGGGAAAGGGUAGUGAUCUCAUGGAAAAUUCACGUGUCUAGUAUUCUUCCAGUUGCUCUCUGUCCGUCACCGAUCAGCCAGGUAUUUUCCCCAUUUAUUUGUUUUGAUUUUUAUGUAUUAAUUGUACGAGUGAAUACAGUCCUUGUUAUUUCCUAUUAAUGUGAUAUUAUGUUGGUUUUAUUUGACAUUUAAUAAAGUUUGGGGGAAAAUGCUAUCUUCUGGUUUUAUUUUUAUUUUUGUUUUAUUUAAAUAGGAGAGUAUAUUGGUCAUUUUAUGUUAAAAAUAUGUGAAAAAUGAUGUUCAGCACAAAGAAAGGUAAAAAAAUAGGGGCAAAAAUGUCAAAAUAUGAAAGGUAUGGACGUUUUCUACAAUCAACUUGAAAGAUAGGGACGUUUUGUACCAAUUACCCAUUUUCAAUUUAUUUUGUAUAAUCUUUGAUUCAUAAGCGAAUCCUUAUUUCAGUUGCAACAUUUGGUUGCUGUAUUAGUAAUUUUUUAAGUUGUAUGGAUAAUGCUAUGCCUGGUGGAAUUAAUUCAAGUGUAAAUCCUCGAAUGGGCAGAAACCGUAAAUCCUUUGUAUCUUCACUUUAUGUUUAAACAUUCCGUUCAGUUCCUACUUUGCUAAUUAUACAUAUUCUAUUUGUAUUAAGUUUAUUUUAACUGAUUGUUUGUAGUAGGUAAGGAGAAAUACUUUGAACGUAAAUUAGCAUUGUCUUGUAAAUAGCCUAAUAUUAAUGAAAGGAAUGUUCGAGAUAGAAUGGAUGAAAAUGACAUUCGAUAUAAAAGUGAUGCUGAAGAUGUUAGGAAUGAUAGGGAUGAAAUUGAUGUUGCAGAUACUUCGAUUGAAACGAAUGCCAGGGAUCUUAAAAAAGCUUAAAUUUGAUGUUGCAAAGCUUCAACCUUGAGGGGUAGUUCAGUGGUCAGAUUUUGGGUUUGCCCUUCAUCGGUCACCAAUUCCAGUCCCCUCAGAGCCAUUAAGAUGAAUACCAAAGUGUAAACUUCAAUGCCUCGUGGAAUUAGUCGACGUGCGCGUAAACUGACCCGAACAUCCACGAUCAUUAAAAAAAAAAAAAAAAAAAAGGAUGUUGACAGCUUCCUUCUCAUUUUGGCUUGAGAGUUCCAAUACAGAAUUAUGAUGCAUUUGACAAUAUUGAAAUUGAUGUAAUUAUGAAACGUUAUAAAAGUAUGAGAACGCAUAGAAAAUAAUUGUACCAUUAUACCUCACUUUUUUUUUCGUUAUUAUUAUUAUUAUUAUUAUUAUUUUGGAAAAUUUGAUUGUGCCCUCUAAUUCAAAAUAUAUGUAUCUAUCAUUGAUUCUAGAGAAUUUUCUUGGGGACUAGUGGGCACUAUGUAGUCGUUGGGAUUUUGUAGUUUAAAGUAGUGUUUUAAAGAGCAUAAUAUGUGAUGAUGUAUGAAAGCUAAGUUUCGAUUGGUACGCGCUUAAGCAAGGCUAGGCUUAGGCAUAAAACAGGGAAAAAAAGUAUUAUCUUAUUUAUUAUUUUUUUUAAUUUUUAAUUAAUUAAAAAAUCAUUUAAUAAUACUUACAAAUUAGAAUAUCAAAUGCAUUUUUAAGAGCUUAAUAAAAAUAAACAUAUUUUCAAACAAACAAAAUAUAUUAUAAUAGUGCUAAUUAAAAUAUAUGGAGAGUUUUUAUUUUUUAUUAAUUAGUAAAAGAUAGAAAAAUGAUCAAUUACUUAAUAAAAUAUAAAUAACCAUUUUUACAGUAGUAUAAUACAUUUCAACCAAACUAGAAGUACAAUAUGCUAUAGUCAAACCAAGGGUAUGAUACAUUAUAGCCAAACCAAAGAGAUCAUUAUCUCACAUCAAAAAUUUACAACAAAAUCAUUUGAAAUGCCCUCUAUCAAUUAGUGGGUAAGUAACUUUUUUGAGCUUUUCAAUCUAUUGGCCUGAAAGUUGAAAUUUUAUAAUUAUUAGUUUUUGGGCUUUUCAAUCCAAUUGACAUAAAAGUUGAAAAUUUUACGUUAAAAAAUUUAAAAAUAUAUUAAUAAAAUGCACGCAAUGUGCAUCUAUGCGAGCCUAGUUACGCCUUAAAGCGGUCAACAAAAGAUUGAUCGCUAAAUUAGCGCAUAUAUCCUAGGCAUGGCGUUUUUACCACGCCUCAUGCAUUGGCAGCUACUAACUAUCGCCAAAAUGCACCAUUUAGAACACUAGUCUAAAGAUGUUAAAGUGUAGCAACGGGUGCACAACCCAUGGUAGGUAUGAGUUGCAUCGAUUGUGUACCCGAUGGUUGGUGCAAUCUCGAUCGUACAACCAUAAGUUGUGUUACGAAGACAUAUGCAGAUCAUGCAAUCGGUCGUGCGAUCAAGUUUCUCGUCACAUGAUCUGAAGGCAUUUGGGAAUGGGUGCUACGUCACAAUUUUUUGGAAAUCUUGUGAAGGGAUGGGAUGGGGUCCAAGUGGUGACAGUAUAGGUGAUGGUGGUCCAAUGAUAUGUUUAGGCGAUGGUUUGGUGGGGUUUGGAGGGUUGGGAUUGGUGGGUGAGGAAGAUCCAUACAUCUCUCUUUCUUUUUUAUUCCUUUUCCCAUUUUUUAUGAUUCAUUUUAUUUAAUUAUUUUAAUCGAUUUAGGUGAGAAAAUCUAUAGUUACCAAAUUUUCCUUUUUAAAAAUUAGUCAAAUGCUUGACUUUUGAUUAACUAAAAGUCAUUUGGCUAGAAAUCGUCCAGAGGUCUUUCCUGCUCCAAUUUGUCAAAAGGUUCGGGAUGUAAGUAUUAAGAUUAGAAGGAUUGAGACAUGGGGACAUACUUUUGAAAGAUUUGGAAUCUCUACUACAAAUUUUCUUUUUUAAUAUGUUGUUUUAUCAUUCACAUCAUUCCACUGUAUGAAGCAAAAAUUCUUUAUGGGGGUUUCGAAUAGAAACACAAAUAAGUUUAUUAAUUGUUAACUUCAAGGAUACUAAAAAUGAGUUUGUAUAUUAAAAUAUUUCUAACAGACUCUUUAAAAAUACAGAGUAUAUCGAAAAAAAAAAAGAAAAAAAUUUCGAUUUACGUGUAAUAUUAUUUUAUGGAAGAUUGUGUGGUUAAAAAUAGGAGAGAAAAAAAUGGAAUGUAAUGUAAUUUAAUUUAAUGUGGAUCAAACAGGGGCUAAAUGUAAUGAGUAAUUUUUUAGACACUCCAACAUCUCUAUUUUUUGCUCUUUAUUGUUCUCCUUCUAACAAUCAUGUAUUGUUUUCCCCUGAUUUUUCAACUAAUAUAUAUUUUAUGAGAGACAUUAAAAUACAAAAAUAGAGUAGAGAGUCAAACUUAUUCUCUAUUUUAAAAAACUAAAUAUUUUCGAGCCUAACUUUAAAGUUUGACACUUUAAAAUAAAGAGCAUCUCACUUUUAAUUUGUCUUUUGACAGUACACUUAUUAUGUUUGUUGGAGUAGUUCGAGGCCAUUUUUGCUGGAUUCUUGUUUUCGAUCUGUGAAGUUAAAAGACUUAGUCCUUUCCUAGGAAACUCACUUUUGAAAAAGGUAGAAUGGUACUUACAUGUGAGCAACGUGACAAGUGGUGUUAUUAUUGAAAGAGCAAUCACAAAUAACUUGAUUCUCCA
rnacentral:lncRNA from 1 species